AAGUCCCCAGGAAAGUCUUCUAUGUAUCAAAAACACGUUGAAAUAUUAGAACUUCAAGAAAGCAACAGACUUCUCACCUUUCAGGGACUAGGAAGUGUGCAUUGAAUCAUGUGAUUGGAGAGCAGAGCAGAUGAGAUAGUAUUUUUACAAAGAUGACUAUUGGAUGAGAUCUGACGUGUUACCAGAGCCAGCAGGAUGGGCUGGAAAAAGUCAUGGGAGGCCACAAGGAAUCAAAGCCUCAAACAAUGUAGCUGAAGGAAGACGGAUCAGCUCACAUAACCAGGAAGCAGGCAUUAUAGAGGCAGUGCGUGCCCCAAGCAGCGAGAGUGGCCCCGCCAGCUCCUUCCCGGGAAUGACACUCAGCAUCUCAGCAUCAGGCC